rnacentral:rRNA from 1 species
GGUGAACGCUGGCGGCGUGCCUAACACAUGCAAGUCGAGCGAUCUUCUUCGAGAGAGAGCGGCGGACGGGUGAGUAACGCGUGGGUAACCUGCCUCAUACACAUGGAUAACAUACCGAAAGGUAUGCUAAUACAAGAUGAUAUAAGAGAUUCGCAUGGAUUUCUUAUCAAAGCUUUUGCGGUAUGAGAUGGACCCGCGUCUGAUUAGCUAGUUGGUAAGGUAAUGGCUUACCAAGGCGACGAUCAGUAGCCGACCUGAGAGGGUGAUCGGCCACAUUGGAACUGAGACACGGUCCAAACUCCUACGGGAGGCAGCAGUGGGGAAUAUUGCACAAUGGGCGAAAGCCUGAUGCAGCAACGCCGCGUGAGCGAUGAAGGCCUUCGGGUCGUAAAGCUCUGUCCUCAAGGAAGAUAAUGACGGUACUUGAGGAGGAAGCCCCGGCUAACUACGUGCCAGCCGCCGCCGUAAAAC